GGCGGCGUGCUUACACAUGCAAGUCGAACGAGAAAUCUUAGCUUGCUAGAGAAAGUANAGUGGCGCACGGGUGAGUAACGCGUGGGUAAUCUGCCUCCGAAUCGGGGAUAACAUUGCGAAAGCGAUGCUAAUACCGGAUAAAAUCUGGUUGGCUUCGGUGAACCGGANUCAAGGUGGUCUCUUUAUAAAAGCUACCGUUUGGAGAUGAGCUCGCGUACCAUUAGCUAGUUGGUGAGGUAAAGGCUCACCAAGGCGACGAUGGUUAGCUGGUCUGAGAGGAUGAUCAGCCACACCGGAACUGGAACACGGUCCGGACUCCUACGGGAGGCAGCAGUGAGGAAUUUUGCGCAAUGGGGGAAACCCUGACGCAGCAACGCCGCGUGAGUGAUGAAGGCUUUCGGGUCGUAAAGCUCUGUCAGGUGGGAAGAACCCACCAAGUGUUAAGACCACUUGGUGCUGACGGUACCACCGAAGGAAGCACCGGCUAACUCCGCGCCAGCAGCCGCGGUAAUACGGGGGGUGCGAGCGUUAUUCGGAAUCAUUGGGCGUAAAGGGCGCGCAGGCGGUUUUGUAAGUCAGAUGUGAAAUCCCGGGGCUUAACCCCGGAAGUGCAUAUGAAACUAUGAGACUUGAGUAUGGGAGAGGGACGCGGAAUUCCUGGUGUCGCGGUGAAAUGCGUAGAUCUCAGGAGGAACACCGGUUGCGAAGGCGGCUUACUGGAACAAUACUGACGCUGAGGCGCGAAGGCGUGGGGAGCGAACCAGGAUAAGAUACCCUGGU
rnacentral:rRNA from 1 species